rnacentral:rRNA from 1 species
UCGAGAAUCUUCCGCAAUGGGCGAAAGCCUGACGGAGCGACGCCGCGUGCGGGAUGAAGGCCUUCGGGUUGUAAACCGCUGUCGAAGGGGAGCAAAUUUGAGCGAUCCUUGGAGGAAGCACAGGCUAAAUUCGUGCCAGCAGCCGCGGUAAUACGAAUUGUGCGAACGUUAUUCGGAAUCACUGGGCUUAAAGGGUGCGUAGGCGGUCAUGUAGGUCUGAUGUGAAAUCCCACGGCUCAACCGUGGAACUGCGUUGGAAACCCCAUGGCUGGAGUAGGACAGAGGUGAGCGGAACAGAUGGUGGAGCGGUGAAAUGCGUUGAUAUCAUCUGGAACACCGGUGGCGAAAGCGGCUCACUGGGUCCUAACUGACGCUGAUGCACGAAAGCCAGGGGAGCAAACGGGAUUAGAUACCCUAGUAGUCCCUGAGCGGGCUGGCAAGGCGCAU